rnacentral:misc_RNA from 1 species
GAGAUCAGUGCCAGCUCAAGCAACUUCACAGGCUUCAAUGAGCUGGGUCAUCUAUUACAUUUAUAAAUGUGCCCAAUGCCUACUCUUUAAAAGGUCUACAACCUUAGAUCUUAAUAAAGAUAUCUUCACUGCCAGUAAAACCAAAUUCUCAAACCUUCAAUCCCAAACUCAGAGCUAGCAGGCUAUCUCGCCCACUGAAACCCCACAACACAUUGCAAGA